UACGUUCUAGCAGUUGAGGAAGGUGGGUAGUGUUAUAGUCAUAUUCAUUUGUACGUUAGUCUGCAGUAAGAAGCACCGGCUAACCUCCGUGCCAGCAGCCGACGGUAAUACGGAGGGUGCGAGCGUUAAUCGGAAUUACUGGGUCGUAAAGCGCAUGCAGGUGGUUUGUUAAGUUCAGAUGUGAAAAGCCCCGGGGCUCAACCUCGGAAUUGCAUUUGAAACUGGCAAACUAGAGUACUGUAGAGGGGGUAGAAUUUCAGGUGUAGCGGUGAAAUGCGUAGAGAUCUGAAGGAAUACCGGUGGCGAAGGCGGCCCCCUGGACAGAUACUGACACUCAGAUGCGAAAGCGUGGGGAGCAAACAGGAUUAGAUACCCUGGUAG
rnacentral:rRNA from 1 species